ACACACACAUACAUUCUCUCUCUCACACACACACACUCUCUCUCACACACACACACUCUCUCUCUCGCACACACUCACACACACACACACUCUCUCUCACACACACACACACACACACGUACAAAGCAAUCAGCAGCUGAUACGUGGUUCUCAGCCAGCCUCUUGGUGCGGAAUGAACACGGCGGGAUUAAUCACUGCUGCAGAGGCGCCACUGAAACGAAGAGCAGCACAGAAGCAGCGCUUCAGCAAACGGACACGCGGCAGAGCGGCGCUGGGCUGACAGCCAGGAACACGAGAUUUGGCACCUGGGGCAGAGAGAGACAGGAAGCUGAACGUGCGGCCAGAAAGGCAAGCGAUCCAGCAGCCGCUGACACCGGCAUCACAGAAGCACCACUCAAGCGGGCAUCUCCUCCAGGCCCGCGUCUACGUUCCGGACUAAUUAUUUCUUUAAUUGAACCAAUUGAACUAAUUUAGGCCUAAUUAACUGUACGGAUGACUGCAUGUUCUCUGAAGAAAAAAACACUGGUUACUAGAAUACGGCAUGUCAAACCCAGUUCAUGCUUGUUCGUGUCACUUAACAGAGUCAACUGGUCAAUUACCUGUACUAGUAAAGCAAUUAUGUAACCCAAGAUACAUGAAAAAAAUUUAACUUUUGCAUCUUCUAGUAUUAAAGGACAUUCCACCCAGGGAGGACCCGGCCUUGUGCCCUGUUUCCCUAUCUUCAGGCUCACAACAAAGCUGUACGGCAUAAGCAGUUGUGGAAGAUGGAUGUACUGUUUAUUAUUAUGUGUCAAACUGCUGAAUGGAAAUAAAUUCAAGCAGGAUGA